GACAAAAGAAGGAACUUCUCAUUAGUUAUUUCAUUCCAGCCACUGUAUUUGAAAUAAUUUACUUUUAUUUAGUAGCUUUUAUCCCAUUCCUGUAUGCUGAUGGGAGAAUAAAAUGGUCAAAUAAAGAUGGUCCAGGUGGUAGCUCAAUACGUAAAUAACUAACAUGGAUCGGUGGACCCAUGUGAUUGAAAAUGGAGGCCAGGCAGAAUUCCUCAGAUCCCACCUACCUUUGCUGCCUGACAGCAGUAACCUCUAAAACCUUAUUUUUUUCCCAGUGCUUUUCCCACACUGUACAUAUGGAUGUGUGUGUACCCAUAUGCAUGUAAAAGAAGCUGCACAUGCAAGCGUUGAGUCAGUGAACAUUUUCAGGUGCUUAGAAUAUCUGAACUGUGAGAAAGACAAGGGUUUGUUGUUUUUACUUUUCCACACAGACUACUUUGACCUUUAACGUGAGUGUGAUCAGUCCUUCACAGCUCCCAUUCCCCUCCAGUCAGCAGUGGUGGGGGCCAGGAGAGAAGGAACAGGGGCCAACCCUUGGGUGCAACUCACGGAGUCCAUCUAUUCAGAAAGCCUCUUCCUCUCUUCUCUAACUUCAGGGGAUGGUAUAGAGAAUAAAGGAAAACAGAGAAGGGUUGGAAUCAGCAAUAAGAAUAGGGAAAAAAAUGUCAUGUCUUCUCCCUGGCUUGUGUGGUGUUUACAGUGGGCAGGGUCCUGCCAUCCAAGCCACGCAACUGCAUCUUAGUGCACAUGUGGGAUUUUACUUUGAGAACUGUAGGUGUCCUCUCUGUCUUCUAUUUCAUGCUCACACAAGGAUUUACUUGGAGCAGAGAGCCGGGUGGUUGAACUGAUUGAAACUAGCCAGGAGUAACCAGGGUAACAUAUACACCAUACCUCACCUGCAUACAGGCAGGCGCUACAUCCUAAAGAUAGAAUGGUGCUGCAGUCUCCAUCUGUGGCGGCUCACUAUAAAUAACAAAAUUAGCAAUGAGCACUAAUAUGUUUUGCUCUUCAGCUGCUUGUGUAAAGGAAUGUCACAGGUGAGCAGAGCAGGGAGUGCACAAUAUUCUCCAACAACCUAUGUCACUUGUAAGGACCUUCUUCAGGCAGAAAGUCAGAAGGUUCCCUUCAGACCACAGAAUGGCCACAGCUGCAAUAAAUCAUGGUCCUGGCACAGGCAGGGACCAGCACCCACUCUUUCAGCAAACAACUGUGAUAGGUUGACAUCUUGAGGCCCCGUGGUUAAGCAUAUGUCCAGGCACGUGAGUUUGUGCUCUAUUUCCCCUUUGCCUCUCUAAUGCAUUGUAAGAGCCUGAAACUUAAUUUGCAGCUGACAUAAAUGAAUGAGUGGAGGACUGCACCUGAGGCUCGCUAAAGACAGGGCUAUGGAUGGACCAUGCCAGGCCUUUAAUGCUGGAAGAUGAAAGGAUGCUUUUGGGUUCCCAGAAGCCCCCCUCAGCAUUCGGAGGAUGAGAGUGUGAACAUUUGAUAUUGCUCUCUUUCCCUUGGAGCUUCAAGUGUGAGAAUUCUAUGAACUUAUCCAGACAACCAGAUGCUCAGCAAAAAAGAAAAUAAUAUAGUGUGUGUGCGUGUGCCUGUGCACAUGGUUGUAUUCACACACAUAUCUAGCAGUCCUGGUCAAUAAAUCCCCAUCACCACACCUUGAAAUACAGACAAGUUUUCUUAAAGGUUGUUAUGAGUACAUAGAAAAGCUCAAUUUCUCCAUGCAUGGUGUUCGCUUAGGCAGUAUUUUGCAGUGUUGCUUUUGGGGAAGCCUUUUGUCUCUUCUUGUUUGUUGGGAGAGUGUAUUCAUUCUCCCAACUCCUUAUGCUGAAUCAUAGAAUGGUUUGGGUUGGAAGGGACCCUAAGCUCAUCCAGUUCCACCCCCUGCCAUGGGCAUGGACACCUUCCACUAGACCAAGCUGCUCA